CAGCGUGAAUUAAAACCCGUGAAUUAAAGUUUAAUCCUUCGUGACGUUGACGAGAUCCUGACACAGAGAUCCAUAGAAACAUUUCACACCCUCUCUUCGCGCGUCGGGAUUCAAAAAGAUUAGAAAUUAGCAUAAGUGUCACCGUACACCACAUUUAUGCAACAUAAGCUCGCGUGAGGAUUUGCAUUGAAGAGAAAGAGAGAGAAAGAAAAAGGAAAGAGAAGAUUAAAUUAUCAAACAUUUGGCUCUGCGUGAAAAGAAAAGACAGACGAAUGGUUCGUAACUGUCCGGCGGGCACAGAUGGUACCCCGGAACGGGGCUUAUAAGCCGCGCAUGAUUUGUCCGGGCACGCACGUCGCUACUGGUUCGGCCGAUACGACUGUAAUUUCGACUUAACGUCGAUUUAUCGCAACCGUAACUGCGAACGCAUGGAAGAGAACCGCGGUCAUUCGAGGUGCGAAUAAUAGUACCGGAGGCGCGACGGUCACGUUCGUUAUAUCAAUGGCUUGAGUGUUUUUCAAAUCCGUCCCUCGCAAGACUUCGCUUUGUUGCUCACUUUACCGGUGGUGAAGUUUGCUGCCCGAUCGUCAAAAGGCCUUGGUUGGAUCGUGACGACCGACGAGGUGACAGGAUCGUCGGCGAACCGACCCAAUCGCGCGCUCCUGUCGUGUCACGGCUUGGCGAAGGGCGCCAAGCUUUCAUUUCUCUUCUCCUCCGUCUCUCGAAGUCGUCUUCUUUUCUUCGUCUUCGCUUCCUGCCGCGUCGUUGCAAAAUAAGGUCACGGAGAUCGGCAACGCUUAAGUCGCGCGCAGGAAAUGGAUCACGACAUCCCGGAGCGAAAUAUGCUUGCGGGCUCUUAUCCGAUCGAGACAGUGGUGCCGUCGUUCUGUUUUUUUGUCGCAUCCCGCACACGGAUAUAUGCAACACAAUUCAAUAUUAACUUCAAUUUGAACUCGGAUAAUGGCGGUUGGCGCAUUUAUAUGUAAUAAUCGCGCAAAGCAAAUACAUUGACGGAAAAAAAAAUAUCACGAGUGAGCAUCAAAGAGAAUACGCAACACGUGUAACAAACGGUUCACUUGAAUUGCUGUAUGAUCUGUUAUCAGUGAACGUUUUGCAGUAUCAAAUACCUUUCCUAAUGCGUACAAAUUUGUUACUGCAAUAUGUGGAAUAAUCGUCACAGCUGUAUUUUAGUUUGCAAAAUUGCAGAAUGUCAACGGCCAAUCGUGUUUGCAUUUACGAUCAAAUAGGGCAAACGGGAAUCGAGGAUUAUAAGAGAUUCUUUUGUGUACGGUGAAUGAAUUCAUUCUUAACGCUAAAUCUCUCGUCGACAUUUCGCGACUUCGGCAUUCAGAAAUGCGUUUCGAUGAAGUGAAGCGUUGCCACACAGGAAUGCAAAUCGAUCGUAGUCUCUAUAUACUUGCAAACAUAUGAAUAUGCAAUAGAAACGAGUUUUGCGUAUAGCAAUACAACAAAUCUAAAUUCUUGAUUAUGUACCGGUGAUUAUGCAACACAAUCUAAAGCAUCAGUUUUGGAUUUUUUAAAUAUAAUAAUUAAAAAGAAAAUUCACUCAAAAUCAUCGCACGAUCUUUUAUAAGUUUAUCAUUAUACAAGUAACAAUCAAAUAACUAUUAUAUACGUACAAACAAAAAUUAAUCGGCGAAUAUUAUCGGUUAUUCGAAAAAAUGUGUUCAA